rnacentral:piRNA from 2 species
UGAUUUGGGUUUGAAGUCUGGUCUUGGCUGC